rnacentral:rRNA from 1 species
GACGAACGCUGGCGGCGUGCUUAACACAUGCAAGUCGAACGGUGAAGCGCCUUCCUUUUUGGUGGGUGUGGAUGAGUGGCGAACGGGUGAGUAACACGUGAGUAACCUGCCCCCUUCUUCUGGAUAACCGCAUGAAAGUGUGGCUAAUACGGGAUAUUCUGGGUCUGUCGCAUGAUGGGUCUGGGAAAGAUAUUGUUUCGGUGGGGGAUGGGCUCGCGGCCUAUCAGCUUGUUGGUGGGGUGAUGGCCUACCAAGGCGGUGACGGGUAGCCGGCCUGAGAGGGUGGACGGUCACACUGGGACUGAGACACGGCCCAGACUCAUACGGGAGGAAGCAGUGGGGAAUAUUGAACAAUGGGCGCAAGCCUGAUGCAGCGACGCCGCGUGAGGGAUGGAGGACUUCGGGUUGUGAACCUCUUUCGCCAGUGAAGCAGGCCUGCCUCGUUUGUGGGUGGGUUGACGGUAGCUGGAUAAGAAGCGCCGGCUAACUACGU